rnacentral:rRNA from 1 species
GAACCGUACGAACGUUAUUCGGAUUCACUGGGCUUAAAGCGUGCGUAGGCGGCUGGGAAAGUUGGGUGUGAAAUCCCUCGGCUCAACCGAGGAAUUGCGCUCAAAACUACCUGGCUCGAGGAAGAUAGAGGUGAGCGGAACUAAUGGUGGAGCGGUGAAAUGCGUUGAUAUCAUUAGGAACACCUGUGGCGAAAGCAGCUCACUGGGUCUUUUCUGACGCUGAGGCACGAAAGCUAGGGGAGCGAACGGGAUUAGAUACCCCGGUAGUCCUAGCUGUAAACGAUGAGCACUGGGUUGAGGGGACUUCCACAUCCUCCCGGCCGUAGCGAAAGUGUUAAGUGCUCCGCCUGGGGAGUAUGGUCGCAAGGCUG